UGGGGUAGAGCUCAGUGAUAGAGCACUUGCCUGGCAUGCACGAGGCCCUGGGUUUGAUCCUCAGUACUGCAA
rnacentral:tRNA from 1 species